CUACUUCUCUCUUUUUGUGAUUUUUUUUUCUAAGCUCAUUUGUGUGUGUACGUUGGAUUAGAAAAAAUUAUAGAAAGAGAGGGGAGAGAGAGAGAGAGAUUAAUGUUUUAAUUGGAGAUAAUGAGAUGUAAAAGAGGUAAAUAUAUUCCUCUCUAUGAGAGAGAGAUGCAAGUAUAUAAAGCCCAUGCGAAAGGGGGAGAGAGCCUAUGUGAAAGAGAGAGACAGAGAGUGUGUGAGAAACAAAUUAAUACGCCUACAGAAACUCAUAUUAAAAAAAAGCGACGUAGCUUCACGACGGAAUGACGUUUGGUUUCUCCUUUAGCAUAGAUUUUAAUAUGGAUUUUAAUUAUUUUAGGCCAGUGAUUUGAGCCCACCAAGGUUGGUAACG
rnacentral:lncRNA from 1 species